rnacentral:rRNA from 1 species
CAAUAGCGUAUAUUAAAGUUGUUGCAGUUAAAAAGCUCGUAGUUGGAUUUGUGGCGUACGGUGUGUUCCGGGCACUUGUUGUCUGAGUAACCUGCUGUUGCCAUCCUUGGGUGGAACCUGUGUGGCAUUAGGUUGUCGUGCAGGGGAUGCCCAUCAUUUACUGUGAAAAAAUUAGAGUGUUCAAAGCAGGCUUAUGCCGUUGAAUAUAUUAGCAUGGAAUAAUGAGAUAGGACUUUUUUGCUACUUUGUUGGUUUGCGCAAAGAGGUAAUGAUUAAUAGGGACAGUUGGGGGUAUUCGUAUUCCAUAGUCAGAGGUGAAAUUCUUGGAUUUUUGGAAGACGAACUACUGCGAAAGCAUUUACCAAGGAUGUUUUCAUUAA